rnacentral:rRNA from 1 species
GUGCACCAGGCGCGAAUCCUCCGCAAUGCGCGAAAGCGCGACGGGGCCACCCCGAGUGCCGCCCGCUGAGGGCGGCUUUUCCCCGGUGUAGACAGCCGGGGGAAUAAGGGGAGGGCAAGUCUGGUGUCAGCCGCCGCGGUAAUACCAGCUCCCCGAGUGGUGGGGACGAUUAUUGGGCCUAAAAGCGUCCGUAGCCGGCCCGGCAAGUCUCCCGUUAAAAUCCAGCGAUCUAAUCGCUGGACUGCGGGAGAUACUGUCGGGCUAGGGGGCGGGAGAGGCCGGCGGUAUUCCCGGGGUAGGGGUGAAAUCCUAUAAUCCCGGGAGGACCACCAGUGGCGAAGGCUGCCGGCUGGAACGCGCCCGACGGUGAGGGACGAAAGCCGGGGGAGCGAACCGGAUUAGAUACCCCCGUAGU